UGAGCCGAGAUGGUGCCACUGCACUCCAGCCUGGGCAACACAGCAAGAUUCUCUCAUAAAAACAAACACAGAACACAGCAAGGACCCCCAUGUGCCCUCCACCCAAAUCCACCUCUGGCUAACAUUCUGCCCCACAUCGUUUCUGCCUCCCAAGUCUUUUUCUUUCUGAGACAGCAUCUCACUCUGGUUGCCGAGACUGGCGUGCAGCGGUGCAGUCUCAGCUCACUGCGGCCUUGUCCUCUCAAGCUCAGUGGAUUCUCCUCCCUCAGCCUCCUCAGCAGCUGGGAGCUGGGACUGUAGGUACACCUCACCACGCCCAAGUAGUUUUUUGAAUUUUUAGUAGAGACAGAGUUUCACCAUAUUGGCCAAGUUGGUCUUGAGGCCCUGACCUCAAUUAAUCUGCCCACUUCAGCCUCCCAAAGUGAUGCGAUUAGGUGUGAGCCAUUGUGACCGAUGUCACCCAUUCUGUCCCCACGCAUUGGCUCUCCCUAUAGACAGGCGUGUGCAUGUGUGUGAUUUGUGUCUGGACAGUGUGAGGUCAAUCACACACACAGGGCCUCGACCGUGAACGCAACCGUGGGCACUUGUACACGCUGCUUCUUCCCUCCCCGCAGUGGCCACAGCUCUGACUGCCCUGCUAGCUGCGAGACGGGGGGGAUUCCCUGAGGGUCCAGGCCACUUCCCGCACACAUUCUGCCAGCACAGCUCAUAAGCCUCCCUAAUUCUGGAACAUUUUCAGUGUUUUUUAAGACACAGACAUUUCUAAAGAAAAUGAAUAUAACUUUCUAAAUGCAAAGGGUGCUCAGUCUGAUGAAAUGGUGUGAAUUUCCAUUGUGGACCUUCCUAAGAGCUUGCAUCCUAUUCUUUUAAAUAUUUCCGAUGACAGCAAAUGCUUUCCUCACUUUCACAACCCAGUCUGGAGAACCCUGUCCCACAAAGAGCACCACCCCACCCUGCAGGGCCGGCUGCACUGCACCUUCCCCACUCCCAGCUCGGGUUCUAGCCCAGCGUGGGGGCUACAGAGGAAAGAGGCUGAGCACUCUGCCAACGCAGCCAUCAGCAGAUGCCAUUUCUGCCCCAGGGACAUGUGGCUGCUCCUGAGAACGCCCAGGGAGCUCCAUCGAGGUGGCAUUUGCCCGAGGCUGGGCCACUGUGGCUUUUAUACCUCUGUGUGAGGUUUGAGGUCUGAGCUGACUGGGGAAGAGACUUUCAUAGCUCCUCUGCGCUCAAGAGAAAUCUUGCCCUGCCCUCCUUCAGGUGGGAGGAUGCAGCAGUGAACAUGGCGUCCCGCUUCUGCAGGCCAGGCAGAGAGCAUUAUGACUGGGCCCUUUCCCGUGAGGAGAAGCACCAAGCACACAGAGAUCCAGAUGCAGACACAGAACACGUGAGUACCCAUGUCCCAUCACAGCCUGUCUCCUGUGACACCCAGCGGGACGCCCACACUGUCUGCACUCCCCAUCCACUCUACCUUGGACAGCUGUAAGGACAGACACCAACAGCAAAGGUCAAGAUGAGGUCUGGGGUCUUGGGUCUCUUUUUCUGUGGGACAUUUUUCUAAUUUGUAAGUAAAUUUUCCCAGUAUGCAAAA